AAAAAAUGUACGUGUCUGUCUCGGAGAUGGCAGAUAUUGUACCGGAACACUGUCAAAUAGAAAAUGCUACUAUUUGGGGUCUGUAGUUCUGAUUUGUUUAUUUUGUUAAGGUAACUAAACUCUAAGAGUUGUCUAUGUCAAGUUUGGAUUGAGGAAUUAACCAUCCACACUGUAAAAAAUGACCCACAGGCUUACUAAAUAUUGCAAAAGAAAAUCUGUGAUUUUUUUCUUAAAAUAAUAGGUUUGGUUUUACUUAAAUUUUGGAAUAUAGUACUUAAUUUAUGUGUUGAAAAAGACUGGCAUUUGCAAAUAAAAAUCCAAGGUAAUAUGCUGCUAAAUUUUAACUAAUAUUUCUAAGUAACAACCAAAAACGUAAAGAUCUGAUAUUGAAAUGAUCAUUAUUGUGUUGGACUGACAUGCUAGAUCUAGUUUUGAACGACAAUUGUGCUUGGAACAUUUCAAUGGAAGUCGUCUUGAUCUUUCUCCUCUGGAAUGGCCAUGUGGCAGGCAAGGACCAAAUUAUAACUUGGAAUGUAGUUUGGAUCUCUCUACACAUAUUUUCAACGAAAUUUCAAAAAUAUUCGUUAAAUAAUAUUCUUCAAGUACGAAAAGCCUUUAGCUAGCUAUAUUGCCAGAGUACGUUAUAUAUUUGCACGUUGAUAAGCUAGCUAGUUAACGGCCAUGAUGUCUGUAUAGUUAGCUAGUGAUGGGCAUGCUACUAGCUAGUAAGUUAGCAGUGCAUUUUCUCGCCUCAGCGCUGUUUAACUUUUGCCAUUUUUGUGUAUAGGUUUUCACGUAUUCAGACGUUCCUGAGUUCUGGACAUACCAUAUUUUCCAGAAUACAUUGACAAGGUAUGUCAAUAUAUUCAAAUGUCUUGUGUGUUUUCAUUGCAACUCACAUAAGGGCUUGUAGGGGCAUGAUUUCCGCAAUGCGGAAAACUCAGAAGGAAUCCUAUGGAAUCCAGAAAUGUAUUCAGAAUACAGCUACCCCUCGGACAGGAUACACAGGAUAUUUUUAUUACAGUAACCCAACAUUAGUGUGAAUAAUAGGUAUUAGAUAUAUACUGUAUUUUUAAAUCAACCAAAUGGAUUGAACACAUUAGGCAACAAAAAGUUAACACGGAAUUCCGGAAAAUAAAACAGCAUUUGGGGGGAAAAUAACGAUAAUUUCAUAGGGCCCUAUUAGUGUUUUACUCAAUGCGUUGUCACCCAGGCAGGUAUUGACAAUGUGUGUCUUCCUUAUUUUGGAAUGAGAUAGCAUAUAGGGGCAGCAGGUAGCCUAGUGGUUAGAGUGUUGGGCCAGUAACCAAAAGGCUGCUGGAUUGAAUCCCGGAGAUGACAAGGGAUCAGGUGGCACAUGCAAUGUAAGAUCUCCAGUUUUGCAGCAUUCAAGUACAAAUACGUGACAACCACAACAUUGUGAGUGCCAAAAUGGCAAAGACCUUCUCAUAUUGAAGACAAGAUGUCGUUCAGGCCCUUCCUGUGAAGGACUUCAAAGAAAGAUGGCCAGCCCUGUUUGAGCCCACUCAGAUUAAGGAAGAGUUCAGAAGAAUUACAACUGUUGCUCUUGAGUCCACCUUUAUCCAGAAGCUGGACGAAUAUACACCAAAACUAUUGGACUUGUUUAAGUCAAAACGAGGUGCUGUAAAGUGCAACACCAUCCAGGAAAGAAGAGACAGUGUGAUCCGUGGCCUGAUCAUAUACCUUGGUGAGAGGUUUGAAGACCUUAUUACAGAAUACAAGGAUGCUAACGACGCCAUGAUCCGAGAGGACCUCGUUCAGCAUGUGAUGAAGGUGUUCACUGUGAAGGAUCUGCACCAGAAUAUAGAGCAUGUGAUCUACAAUCGAAGGAGCAGAGGUCCUGGCAGGUAUUUGCAGUGUUACAGUCAUGUAACAGGUACCCAAAAUAACUGAAAUAAGGUACCCAAAAGAACUGAAAUAUACCUUUGAGGUGUUCCAAAAAGUAUUCUUAGAACUUGAUGAUCUCAGGACCUUUCCACGGUUCCAAGCUCUAAAGAUGAAGUUACUUGUUUUCAGAGAUAUCUAUGAGAACUCUCAAAGGGCCACUCACAAACUGUGGUCUAAACCCUACUCAGUAAGCUGAUAAGCUAGUUGCUAGGUGGUAUAGGAGCUACAGUUUACAUGAUGUUCUUUUUCAAGUGAAGUCAUAAGAGACAUUGUUAAUUCCUGGUUAAAAAAACUGCUUUGUUUUAAAAGUUACUUCAUAUGCACUAGUGAAUUUCUGAGAUUAUUUGUAGUCAGGUGCAAGCUAUCUGGAUGCAACUUUACCUAAGGAGGCAAGGUGGAGUUGUACCCAGAAUGCUUAUACCUGUCAAAAUAAUAUGUCCAUAUGGGCUUCACUAGUGCAAAUGGAGUCAGGUUUAAGGGACAAUUUGGCAUAUAUUUUGUAACAAUAUGUGCAAUGUAUGUUUUGAAAAGCCAUGUUUUGAUUAAUCUAAAACAGUUUGAAUGAGGAGGUAUUUGAGCUAAAGUUCAUAUUGUGCUUUGUGUAAAGUCUAUUAAGAUAAAUCGUUAAUUUACGUUUCUGUUAAAAUAUCGCUUUGAUGUUAAGGGGCACACAGACCAGGGAAUUCUUGCUAAAAUGUACAAGAUGUGAGGUCUAAGUGCUAAUCCCAAACUAUCACCUAAACUUUAUGCAGCUGUGAAGAUCUGAAAUGAUUUGUAGUCAGGUGCAAGCUAUCUGGAUGUUAUACCCAGAAUGCUUACAGAUUACAAAAUAAUGAGCUCCACAAAUGCUUAAGGAGUAGGGUUUAAUUUGAGAUUGAAGUUUGAAGAAAACCUUUAUUCAAAAUAAAGUUGUUGAAGUUUGAAGUUGAACACUGUUGUUUCUUUUUGCAUAUUCCCUUCUAUAGAAAAAAAUAAAAAAACGUAAAUUAUCCCAAGUAUAUUGAGGUAACUAUUUGCAUCAGCUUUUUAAGUAUAGUUGUGAGUAUAUAUUUGAGUAGUAGGAACCCAAUUUAAAUACAUUUUACUAACCUGAGUACCAUAAGUAACUGAGCAAAAAACAUUUGUAGAUUAAACAUAGAAUAUAAAUUACGGUACUGAGUAAAUUCAGCAAAUGAAACUUACAAUAUUAGUUCAGUAACUGAUUACAUUAAGUAUAUCAAACGUAUAACAUUAGUUCUGGGACUUGAAGGACUUAAGCAGGUCAAAAAAAAAAACUGAUGAUCCUGAUAAAAUUAAGUUGAAUGAAAGGAAUUUUUGAGAUCCUGUUAGUUGUUUGCACUUAAAAUAUUUGAGUUUGUAAUGUACUAAAAGCGAAGUAUAUUAUACUUAAAUGAUCCUCCUUGUUGGAUUUACUUAAAAGACCGAUGCAAAUAAUGACCAAAUUUUUUGGAGGAAAAGGGGCACAAUAUUUUUUACAGUGCAAUGAUAACUCUCAUCACGAGUUCCCAUGAGAGCGAGAAAGAGAGAGACAUUUUUACACAUGCCUCCAAGCAUCCCAGUUCUCCUGAACUCAUAGCUAUCUGAACUUGGUUAUCUGGUGCAUCUAAUCCUAUUAGCACUCAC
rnacentral:lncRNA from 1 species